rnacentral:piRNA from 1 species
UGGGUAUUGCCAUGCACUUACGGCCA